rnacentral:misc_RNA from 1 species
GAUGAAGAACGUAGUGAAAUGCGAUAAGUAGUGUGAAUUGCAGAAUUCAGUGAAUCAUCGAAUCUUUGAACGCACAUUGCGCCGCUUGGUAUUCCAUGGGGCAUGCCUGUUCGAGCGUCAUUUGUACCUUCAAGCUUUGCUUGGUGUUGGGUGUUUGUCUCGCCUUUGCGUGUAGACUCGCCUUAAAAUAAUUGGCAGCCGGCGUAUUGAUUUCGGAGCGCAGUACAUCUCGCGCUUUGCACUCAUAACGACAGCGUCCAAAAGUACAUUUUACACUCUUGACCUCGGAUCAGGUAGGGAUACCCGCUGAACUUAAGCAUAUCAAUAAGCGGAGGA